CAUGAAGCUGGAUUCGCUAGUAAUCGCGCAUCAGCCACGGCGCGGUGAAUACGUUCCCGGGCCUUGUACACACCGCCCGUCAAGCCAUGGAAGCCGGGAGUGCCUGAAGUGCGUGAGCGCAAGCAGCGCCCUAAAGGUAAAACCGGUGACUGGGGCUAAGUCGUAACAAGGUACC
rnacentral:rRNA from 1 species